rnacentral:rRNA from 1 species
GAUGAACGCUGGCGGCGUGCCUAAUACAUGCAAGUCGAGCGAACCACUUCGGUGGUGAGCGGCGAACGGGUGAGUAACACGUAGGUGAUCUGCCCAUCAGACGGGGACAACGAUUGGAAACGAUCGCUAAUACCGGAUAGGACGAAAGUUUAAAGGUGCUUCUGGCACCGCUGAUGGGUGAGCCUGCGGCGCAUGAGCUAGUUGGUAGGGUAAAGGCCUACCAAGGCGACGAUGCGUAGCCGCCCUGAGAGGGUGAACGGCCACACUGGGACGGAGACACGGCCCAGACUCCUAGGGGAGGCAGCAGUGGGGAAUCUUCGGCAAGGGGCGAAAGCCUGACCGAGAAACGCCGCGUGAAUGAUGAAGGCCUUGGGGUUGUAAAAUUCUGUUAUAAGGGAAGAACGACUUUAGUAGAAAAUGGCUAGAGUGUGACGGUACCUUAUGAGAAAGCCACGGCUAACUACGUGCCAGCAGCCGCGGUAA